AUUUCAUUUUGCUUUAUAAACUUACAAAAUGCAUGGUUGAAAUUUUAAUACAGUUGCAUGAGAGUUUAGGGUUCGCGCGUGGUUUGAAUUCGCCUCAACGUCUUCUUGAAUGAGUUCAACAAAGGAUCAGAUUGGUGAGAGGGUUGGCCGCGCGCGCUGCAUGUUUCAGUUGUAAAUGGUUGAAAUUUUAAUACAGUAGCAUGCGUGAGAGUUUCGGCUAGGUGCGCGCGUGGUUUGAAUUCGCCUCAACGUCUUGUUGAAUUAGUUCGACAAAGGAUCAGAUUGGUGAGAGGGUUGGCUGCGCGCGCUGCAUGUUUCAGUUGUAAAUGUUUGAAAUUUUAAUACAGUAUAGCAUGCACGAUAGUUUCGGCUAGGUGCGCGCGUGGUUUGAAUUCGCCUCAACGUCUUGUUGAAUUAGUUCGACAAAGGAUCAGAUUGGUGAGAGGAUUGGCCGUGCGCGUUGCAUGUUUUUAAUACAGUAGCAUGAAUGAUUGUUUCGGCUGCGUACGCAAGUUUAUUAUUUUUGCCGUAUGAAUUUUAUAAUGGUUGAAAUUUAAAAUACAGUUGGAUGAGAGGUUUCGAUAUCAUGGUUUUUCCUUGACUAUGUUUUUUUUUUUUUUUAUACUGAUGUGUGGCCGAAAUUAACACGCUGAAAUAUCUGACGGUAAGUUUAAUCUUUAUUUCUCACAUUGUCAGUUUGCAAUUACAGAGAUAGGUCAACUUUGAAAUCGUUCUAAUUUUAGCACAGUUGCAUGUACGAGAGUUUCAGCUGAGGACGUAAUUUCAUUUUGCCUUAUAAACUUUAUAAUGGUUGAAAUUUUAAUACAGUUGCAUGAGAGUUUCGGCUAGGUGCGCGCGUGGUUUGAAUUCGCCUCAACGUCUUGUUGAAUUAAUAGUUCGACAAAGGAUCAGAUUGGUGAGAGGGUUGGCUGCGCGCGCUGCAUGUUUCAGUUGUAAAUGGUUGAAAUUUUAAUACAGGAUAGCAUGCACGAUAGUUUCGGCUAGGUGCGCGCGUGGUUUGAAUUCGCCUCAACGUCUUGUUGAAUUAGUUCGACAAAGGAUCAGAUUGGUGAGUGGGUUGGCCGCGCGCGCUGCAUGUUUCAGUUGUAAAUGCCCCCUGACCUAUAUAUGUGCCUAACCCACCCUGUCAGCUUUCCCUGUGGGAGGAAUCCGGAAUGCCGGGAGAAAGUCCACGACUUUCGGCAGAGCGUUGACUUUUGACUAAUCUUUUGCGUGAGGCUUGGGUCUAGUCGCAUUGAGAAAGUUCUCACUGAGGUUUGAACCUGCGAGCUCAGAGGUGAAAGUCAAGUGCGCUAACCGCUUGGCCACCGAAGCCCCCAGGGUUAAAUUAGUAGAGAGAUAAGUGCAUAAAGUAUUUAGGGUAUUUUGGCGCUAAAUUUGUUUUUAAAUUUGUCAUUUUAUGAACACAACCCGUCCUUUCUGGUCGCCCUGGUUGCUGUGAGGAGAAAUCGGGAAUUGUAAUGAAUGGAUAACAAUUUGUGCAAUGCAACGCAAUGGAAAUUAAUGCAAUGCAACGCAGUACAUGACGGAACAAGAAUCGACUUCUACCAACACUGCCCAUGUGUGUUAGUGAUCGGAUUGGCAGAAAACUGAUCCUGGUUUCAUCAUCGCUUUAUAAAGCAUCGAAUGAGUGCAGACGAGGAUGAUAACCUGUGUCAUCCACCACAAGAAUGACGACUAGUACUCAGGCCUUGAAUAACUCAGAGGUAUAGUCUCGUUUCAAUCCUUUGAA